CUGUCUGUAUAUGGGACAGUCCCCCCCCAGGUAGAGAAACUCACCAGUGAUUUCACCUCCACGGUAACAGCAGCUGGUCUGCACAAAAUACCAUCCUGUGGUUUGGGCUCACUUUGGACUGUGAGGGGCUGCUGAGUUCUGAUGGGAUGGGAGCAUUACAUGCAGCAUGGAAAGGGCCUCCUGUCCCAGAAGUGCUUGCUUAGCUUCAGAGUGUACAGGGAGGGACGCCUUGGGGCUGGAAGUAGGAAUGAAUAGACUGG